UGUUGACCUCGGAUCAGGUAGGAAUACCCGCUGAACUUAAGCAUAUCAUAA
rnacentral:rRNA from 1 species